UGACCCGUCUUGAAACACGGACCAAGGAGUUUAUCGUGUGCGCAAGUCAUUGGGUGUUGAAAACUCAAAGGCGCAAUGAAAGUAAAGAAUCCGCAAGGAUACGACGUGUGAUCUGAGCAAUCACGAUUGCCUGGAGCAACAUGGCCCCAUUCUGGUCGCUUGCGACGGGGUGGAGGAAGAGCGUACGCGGUGAGACCCGAAAGAUGGUGAACUAUUCCUGAGCAGGAUGAAGCCAGAGGAAACUCUGGUGGAAGUCCGAAGCGAUUCUGACGUGCAAAUCGAUCGUCUGACUUGGGUAUAGGGGCGAAAGACUA
rnacentral:rRNA from 1 species